AUUGAACGCUGGCGGCAGGCCUAACACAUGCAAGUCGAGCGAGCGGCGGACGGGUGAGUAAUGUAUGGGGACUGCCCGAUAGAGGGGGAUAACUACUGGAAACGGUGGCUAAUACCGCAUACUAUCGGAUAACCCAUAUGAGAUUAGCUAGGAGGUGGGGUAAAGGCUCACCUAGGCGACGAUCUCUCGCUGGUCUGAGAGGAUGAUGAGCCACACUGUGACUGAGACACGGCCCAGACUCCUACGGAGGCAGCAGUGGGGAAUAUUGCACAAUGGGCGCAAGCCUGAUGCAUCCAGGCCGCGUGUAUGAAGUAGGCCUUAGGGUUGUAAAUUACUUUCAGCGGGGAGUCGUUACCCGCAGAAGAAGCACCGGCUAACUCCGUGCCAGCCGCCGCGUAAUUC
rnacentral:rRNA from 1 species